rnacentral:rRNA from 1 species
AACGAACGCUGGCGGCAGGCUUAACACAUGCAAGUCAAACGCCCCGCAAGGGGAGUGGCAGACGGGUGAGUAACGCGUGGGAAUCUACCCAGUUCUACGGAACAACUGAGGGAAACUUCAGCUAAUACCGUAUACGCCCUACGGGGGAAAGAUUUAUCGGAAUUGGAUGAGCCCGCGUUGGAUUAGCUGGUUGGUGGGGUAAUGGCCUACCAAGGCGACGAUCCAUAGCUGGUCUGAGAGGAUUAUCAGCCACACUGGGACUGAGACACGGCCCAGACUCCUACGGGAGGCAGCAGUGGGGAAUAUUGGACAAUGGGCGAAAGCCUGAUCCAGCCAUGCCGCGUGAGUGAUGAAGGCCCUAGGGUUGUAAAGCUCUUUCAGUGGGGAAGAUAGUGACGGUACCCACAGAAGAAGCCCCGGCUAACUUCGUGCCAGCCGCCGCAGUAAUAC